UUACUGUCUGUGUUGAAACUCUGUUUCCUGCAACUCUCUGAAGGUCAUUCUGGAGAGAUCUGGCCGUAGUAAACCUGUUUCUCCGGGCUAGGGUGGCUAAAUACUGGUCCUCACGAGGAGUUGUCACCCUUGGACGACCUGUUAUCGCUCUUGAGAUGACACUGCGGUGAACAUUAAAAUGAUUGGCAGCAGUUUGGGUGAGACCCCCCUGUACCAUUCCAACAAUCUGAGCAACCUCAGUUGGCGUUAAGUGACGCCUAGCCAUGUCUAAAGUGUUAAUGUCGACAAAUUGCCCUUGCUGGCAGUUUUUAAGCAAUCAGGGUGCAUGGGUGAAGUGUGUAAAUCAGGCAUGACGUGCAUUUUGCAUGCGUGUUUUGAGGAUGGUUGUGUUCAGGCGAUGUUAUCAGUGUUAUCAGGAAAAUCUACAUGGAAAAGGCUUUUAGUCGAGUAUUCGUAGGUAAUUCUCCUGCCUGAAUUUGUUCUCAAUGGAUGGCAUUCAACACUGAUGAGAAUGUUGCACGGAAAAUAAUACUUGUUGCUUAACUUUUUGUGAGGAGUAUAAUACUGGCGCAUAUUUGCUGGAAAUCUUGAUGAGAGUAAUUCUUUAAGCGUGUAUCAUUUGUCUCAGCAAUGGGCUAAGGGGAACAACUCUGUCAUUCUUCCAGGUUCAAGCAACUAAGCGUCACCUCAUGACCAAAUGCUUUUACCUCAUUGGCUGAUGCAGCUUUGUCAGCCAUGUUCUUACGAAUGCAAAUUUACUGACCUAAAUUCCUUCGUUGUUUUCGGGACGUAAAGUGAUUGUAAUCGUCAUUUGAUCGACUACGUCACGUCACACGAUCGUCAAAGAAAGAAAUGUUCACAGCAGAGUCGUCAGACUGGGACGAUCUAAUUGACUUGUGGGACCAUGUCCUCAACAGUAACCUUGACCCGAAAAUGGCAAUUAAAACAUACAUCCAGGAUGGAAGCAAUCCUACAGUGACAAAUGAUGAUGAUGAUGAUGAUGAUGCUGAUGACCCCUGGACCAGAUGCAGCGUAAUUUCAAUUCCCUCAUCCACAUCUUUGUCAAGUGACAUUGUGUUUGACAUUCACUUGGUGAAGCGAAGUCGGAAAUCGAAAAAGAUGCCAUUGAUAACCCAGUGAUCAGAGGUGUGCGGAACUUCUUCCGACGGUCAAGCCGCCCAUGAACUUUGCUUUGUAUUUGUCUGUACAAAAAAUACGUUAUUGUUGUUUUAUAACCUUACUGAUGGUUUACGGUUGUAUAAAAUUUUGAACUGUU